UUUUUUAAUUAGGGUAGCCCACAAAAUAUUGGGACAUACAAAAAAAGAAAUAUAGACAACACUGUUUAUAUAUAUAUAUAUAAAUAUAUAUAUAUAUAUAUAUAUAUAUAUAUAUAUAUAUAUAUAUAAAUUUUAAUUGGGGUAGCCCCCAAAAUAUUGGAAAAUAUAAAAAAAGACAACUCUGUUCCGCAGAGUAGCUGUUGACAUUAUAGUUGCGCAGGAACUUUGUUGACUCUAGAGAAUCCAGUUUGGCAGUUUCUGCGCCUAAUAUGGUGACCACGGGUAACGGGGAAUCAGGGUUCCAUUCCAUACAGGGACCCUGAGAAACGACUACCACGUGCAAGGAAGGCAGCAGGCGCGCAAAUGACCCACUCCCGAUGCGGGAAGGUAGUGACGACAAAUAACAAUACAGAACUCUUUAGAGGCCCUGUAAUUGUAAUGAGUCCACUUGAAAUCCUUUAACUCUGAUCAAUUGGAGGGAAGUCUGGUGCAGAGCCACUGACCUGUGCGUGCUGAAACUCCACUA